rnacentral:tRNA from 1 species
GAAUGGAUAGCCUAGUGGUUAAGGCAUUACAUACAAGUUGUGUACCACUCAAGGGUCCUUAGUUUGAAUCCAAGUCUAGUCA